CGAGCAUCAGUGAUGUUACAUCCAAUUAAACUCAUCCUUGCACUUUGAGCUGCGCGGUGAAGAAACCAUUGGGGAAAGUUAUCUGAGAUGCUC
rfam:Zea mays cultivar B73 chromosome 6, whole genome shotgun sequence.